rnacentral:rRNA from 1 species
GACGAACGCUGGCGGCGUGCUUAACACAUGCAAGUCGAACGCGCCUGUCCUCUGGGUUUCUGGGGGGUGGGUGAGUGGCGAACGGGUGAGUAACACGUGAGUAACCUGCCCCCUUCUUCGGGAUAUCGGUCUGAAAGGGCUGCUAAUACCGGGUAUUCACUGGUCUCCGCAUGGGGUCUGGUGGAAAGGUUUUUUUCUGGUUUGGGAUGGGCUCGCGGCCUAUCAGCUUGUUGGUGGGGUGAUGGCCCACCAAGGCUUUGACGGGUAGCCGGCCUGAGAGGGUGACCGGUCACAGUGGGACUGAGAUACGGCCCAGACUAGUACGGGAGGCAGCAGUGGGGAAUAUUGCACAAUGGGCGAAAGACUGAUGCAGCGACGCCGCGUGAGGGAUGGAGGCCUUCGGGUUGUGAACCUCUUUCGCCCGUGGUCAAGCCGCGACGUGGGUCGUGGUGAGGGUAGUGGGUAAAGAAGCGCCGGCUAACUACGUG